UUCGGAAGGGAUGUGUUUAUUAGAUAAAAAANCCAAUGNCCCUUCGGGGCUUUUUGGUGAUUCAUGAUAACUUUACGGAUCGCAUAGCCUUGCGNCUGGCGACNGGUUCAUUCAAANNNUUUCUGNCCCUAUCAACNUUUCGAUGGUAAGGUAUUNGGCUUANCCAUGGUUUCAACGGGUAACGGGGNAAUUAGGGUUCGAUUCCGGAGAGGGAGCCUGAGNAAACGGCUACCACAUCCAAGGAAGGCAGCAGGCGCGCNAAAUUACCCAAUCCCGACACGGGGAGGUAGUGACAAUAAAUACUGAUACAGGGCUCUUUUGGGUCUUGUAAUUGGAAUGAGUACAAUUUAAACCUCUUAACGAGGAACAAUUGGAGGGCAAGUCUGGUGCCAGCAGCCGCGGUAAUUCCAGCUCCAAUAGCGUAUAUUAAAGUUGUUGCAGUUAAAAAGCUCGUAGUUGAAACUUGGGCCUGGCUGGCGGGUCCGCCUCACCGCGUGCACUCGUCCGGCCGGGCCNUUCCUUCUGAAGAACCUCAUGCCCUUCACUGGGCGUGCUNGGGGAAUCAGGACUUUUACUUUGAAAAAAUUAGAGUGUUCAAAGCAGGCCUUUGCUCGAAUACGUUAGCAUGGAAUAAUAAAAUAGGGCGUGCGUUUCUAUUUUGUUGGUUUCUAGAGACGCCGCAAUGAUUAACAGGAACAGUCGGGGGCAUCAGUAUUCAGUUGUCAGAGGUGAAAUUCUUGGAUUUACUGAAGACUAACUACUGCGAAAGCAUUUGCCAAGGAUGUUUUCAUUAAUCAGUGAACGAAAGUUAGGGGAUCGAAGACGAUCAGAUACCGUCGUAGUCUUAACCGUAAACUAUGCCGACUAGGGAUCGGGCGAUGUUCUUUUUCUGACUCGCUCGGCACCUUACGAGAAAUCAAAGU
rnacentral:rRNA from 7 species